rnacentral:rRNA from 1 species
CUACGGGUUGCUGCAGUGGGGAAUAUUGCGCAAUGGGGGAAACCCUGACGCAGCGACGCCGUGUGAGUGAUGAAGGUUUUCGGAUCGUAAAGCUCUGUCAGGUGGGAAGAAUAAAGGGUGUGUGAAUAAUGCACUCUGAUGACGGUACCACCAGAGGAAGCACCGGCUAGCUCCGUGCCAGCAGCCGCGGUAAUACGGAGGGUGCAAGCGUUGUUCGGAAUUACUGGGCGUAAAGCGCGUGUAGGCGGGCGUGCAGGUCAGAUGUGAAAUCCCUCGGCUCAACCGAGGAAGUGCAUCUGAAACCGCAUGUCUUGAGUACGAGAGAGGCAGAUGGAAUUCCCAGUGUAGAGGUGAAAUUCAUAGACAUUGGGAAGAACACCGGUGGCGAAAGCGGUCUGCUGGCUCGAUACUGACGCUGAGGCGCGAAAGCGUGGGGAGCAAACAGGAUUAGAUACCCGAGUAGUC